rnacentral:piRNA from 1 species
UGCUAAUCCGCUUCCAGCAGCACUUGGUGG